AACGAACGCUGGCGGCAGGCCUAACACAUGCAAGUCGAGCGCUCUCUUCGGAGGGAGCGGCGGACGGGUGAGUAACACGUGGGAACGUGCCCAAAGGUACGGGAUAGUCGAUGGAAACGUCGCUUAAUACCGUAUGUGCCCCUUCGGGGGGAAAGAUUUAUCGCCUUUGGAUCGGCCCGCGUCUGAUUAGGUAGUUGGUGAGGUAACGGCUCACCAAGCCGACGAUCAGUACCUGGUUUGAGAGGAUGAUCAGGCACACUGGGACUGAGACACGGCCCAG
rnacentral:rRNA from 1 species